rnacentral:rRNA from 1 species
CCUACGGGAGGCAGCAGUGAGGAAUAUUGGUCAAUGGACGAGAGCCUGAACCAGCCAAGUAGCGUGAAGGAUGACUGCCCUAUGGGUUGUAAACUUCUUUUAUAUGGGAAUAAAAUGGUCCACGUGUGGGAUUUUGUAUGUACCAUAUGAAUAAGGAUCGGCUAACUCCGUGCCAGCAGCCGCGGUAAUACGGAGGAUCCGAGCGUUAUCCGGAUUUAUUGGGUUUAAAGGGAGCGUAGGUGGGUUGUUAAGUCAGUUGUGAAAGUUUGCGGCUCAACCGUAAAAUUGCAGUUGAAACUGGCAGUCUUGAGUACAGUAGAGGUAGGCGGAAUGCGUGGUGUAGCGGUGAAAUGCUUAGAUAUCACGAAGAACUCCGAUUGCGAAGGCAGCUCACUGGACUGUAACUGACACUGAGGCUCGAAAGUGUGGGUAUCAAACAGGAUUAGAUACCCGAGUAGUC